AGUGAACGCUGGCGGUAGGCCUAACACAUGCAAGUCGAACGGCAGCACAGAGGAGCUUGCUCCUUGGGUGGCGAGUGGCGGACGGGUGAGGAAUACAUCGGAAUCUACUCUGUCGUGGGGGAUAACGUAGGGAAACUUACGCUAAUACCGCAUACGACCUACGGGUGAAAGCAGGGGAUCUUCGGACCUUGCGCGAUUGAAUGAGCCGAUGUCGGAGUAGCUAGUUGGCGGGGUAAAGGCCCACCAAGGCGACGAUCCGUAGCUGGUCUGAGAGGAUGAUCAGCCACACUGGAACUGAGACACGGUCCAGACUCCUACGGGAGGCAGCAGUGGGGAAUAUUGGACAAUGGGCGCAAGCCCGAUCCAGCCAUACCGCGUGGGUGAAGAAGGCCUUCGGGUUGUAAAGCCCUUUUGUUGGGAAAGAAAUCCAUCUGGUUAAUACCCGGGUGGGAUGACGGUACCCAAAGAAUAAGCACCGGCUAACUUCGUGCCAGCAGCCGCAGUAA
rnacentral:rRNA from 1 species